rnacentral:rRNA from 1 species
AGAGUUUGAUCAUGGCUCAGAAUCAACGCUGGCGGCGUGCCUAACACAUGCAAGUCGAACGAGAAAGUGGAGCAAUCCAUGAGUAAAGUGGCGCACGGGUGAGUAACACGUGACUAACCUACCUUUUAGUGGGGGAUAACCUAGGGAAACCUGGGCUAAUACCGCAUAAUACCUACGGGUCAAAGCAGCAAUGCGCUGAAAGAGGGGGUCGCGGUCGAUUAGUUAGUUGGCAGGGUAAUGGCCUACCAAGACUGUGAUCGAUAUCCGGCCUGAGAGGGCGCACGGACACACUGGAACUGAAACACGGUCCAGACUCCUACGGGAGGCAGCAGUGGGGAAUCUUGCACAAUGGGCGAAAGCCUGAUGCAGCAACGCCGCGUGGGGGAUGAAGCUUCUCGGAGUGUAAACCCCUUUCGACCCGGACGAAUGCCCGCAAGGGUUUGACGGUACGGGUAUAAGAAGCCCCGGCUAACUACGUGCCAGCCGCCGCGGUAAUAC